UGUGUAGGCCGCUUUUCAAGUUUGGUGUGAAAUCUCCCGGCUCAACUGGGAGGGUGCGCCGAAAACUGGAGGGCUAGAGUGCGGGAAGGGAGAGUGGAAUUCCUGGUGUAGCGGUGAAAUGCGUAGAUAUCAGGAGGAACACCGGUGGUGUAGACGGCUCUCUGGACCGCCACUGACGCUGAGACACGAAAGCGUGGGUAGCAAACAGGAUUAGAUACCCUGGUAGUCCACGCCCUAAACGAUGCAUAUUUGGUGUGGGUCAUUCAGUUGAUCCGUGCCGGAGCUAACGCGUUAAAUAUGCCGCCUGGGGAGUACAGUCGCAAGGCUGAA
rnacentral:rRNA from 1 species